UACAGUUGAACAAGGAAUGGAGCCCAGGUUUAGGUUUGUAGACACCAUGCUACACAGUUAGGAGAGUCGGGACCUCCUGGCCUUAGGGGUCCUUUCCCCGGUGAACUUUUUAGUUUACGAUUUUUGCCAUGGCUCCUUUAAGGUUAAUGGAAAGAGCACUCCACUCAUGGAAACUGAACCCCAUAAUCUGGGGUACUAGGUCACUCCUCCUCUGGCUGGUUCCACUGGCUUUUGGAUUUUCCUUGUUGUUUGGCCAAACCUAGCUCAUCUCCACGCUGGAUAACCUGGGAACACAGGCUGGAGCGCCUCAGAGUGGCAAAAACAUACCUGAAUUAAGCCUGACUAUGGCUCUGCACUGAGCCCACCACUUAAGUCUCAUUCUUGGGGUAGUCAUAUGACCGGGCUUUCCAGUCAUUCAUUCAUUCAUUUUCAUUCAUUCAUUGUUCGUUCACUCAGCCCAUAUUUAUUGGACACCCCCUGCCGGGGGUACUGUGUUGAAUUGAAAAGUGCCACUGACCUCUGGGGCCUCACAGACACAAGAUCAAAUAAACCCUGUGCUUCAGGGUGGAUGCAUCAAGGAGGCUGGGGUGAGAGAGAAAGUCACCCUCUCACCCAAAGGCCAUCAAACCACAGUGAGCUACAGCAUGGCCUUACCAACAUGGAUUCCCGGAUCCCAGAUAUCCCUUUCAGCAAGUCUGGGAAAGGGUCCAAGAGCUACAUACUUAACUAUCUCCCCAGGUGAUUCCAGAACCAGGGAGUGUGGAGGGAGAGAUCAACUGAGAAAAUCUGUACUAACAAGUCAGAGAAAAUGUCCCAGGGAAAAGAUUGUACCUGCGAGGAUGGGUAAAGAUUUGCCAACCAGCAAGAGGAUAAAAAACCUUUAUAGAUUUAUAAUGUAACUUUAAGAAUGUUUGUUGUGGAAUUAGUCAAAUGGCAAAGAAAUUAG
rnacentral:lncRNA from 1 species